UACAGAGGGUGCGAGCGUUGUCCGGAAUCAUUGGGCGUAAAGCGCGCGUAGGUGGCCCGGUAAGUCCGCUGUAAAAGUCCAGGGCUCAACCCUGGAAAGCCGGUGGAUACUGUCGGGCUCGAGUCCGGAAGAGGCGAGUGGAAUUCCUGGUGUAGCGGUGGAAUGCGCAGAUAUCAGGAGGAACACCGAUGGCGAAGGCAGCUCGCUGGGACGGUACUGACACUGAGGCGCGAAAGCGUGGGGAGCAAACAGG
rnacentral:rRNA from 1 species